GGAAGUAAAAGUCGUAACUAGGUUUCCGUAGGUGAACCUGCGGAAGGAUCAUUAAUGAGUUGUCAUGGGGUUCGAUGCUGGCAGCCAAUUUUUGGAUGCAUGUGCUUGCCCUAACAAUCAUCUUCCAAACACCUGUGCACAUUUUUGAGGGAGUCUUGAGUUGGUUGCCGCUCUUGGGUGAUUUUCUCACAUUCCCUUAAAUCAUUAUACGCUAUUAACAAUGUUGAACGUGCUCUGUGCCGCAAGGCUAUUAAUAUAAUACAACUUUUAACAACGGAUCUCUUGGCUCUC
rnacentral:misc_RNA from 1 species